AACGAACGCUGGCGGCAUGCCUAACACAUGCAAGUCGAACGAGACCUUCGGGUCUAGUGGCGCACGGGUGCGUAACGCGUGGGAACCUGCCCUUAGUUUCUGAAUAACUCCCCGAAAGGGGUGCUAAUACCUGAUAAUGUCUUCGGACCAAAGAUUUAUCGCCUUUGGAUGGGCCCGCGUUGGAUUAUCUAGUUGGUAGGGUAAAAGCCUACCAAGGCGACGAUCCAUAGCUGUUCUGAGAGGAUGAUCAGCCACACUGGGACUGAGACACGGCCCAGACUCCUACGGGAGGCAGCAGUGGGAAAUAUUAAACGAUGGGCGAAAGCAUGAUCCAGCAAAGCCGCGUGAGAGAUGAAGGCCUUAGGGUUGUAAAGAUCUAUUAAACGGGAUGAUAAUGACAGUACCGGGAGAAUAAGCGAAGGAUAACUCCGUG
rnacentral:rRNA from 1 species